UCCGGUCGUAUCCCUGGGGGCGCUCUCAUAGUCGCAACAGAGGAUUGAAAACUCAUUCAUGCUUGUACUGACGAGCUAUAGGUCCGCACGCAUGUAAUUGCUCUCUCCUCUACAAGAUCGAAUCAACGAGCACAUAACAAAAGGGUAGGUUCACAGAAGCUUCGUCGGUGCACUGCAGGUGCUUGGACACCGAGAUGCUCGAGUGCCUAGAUGGAAAAUCAGCCAUCAAAAUAUGGAUUGCAGUUCACUAUUUUUGGGUGUUUGUCUUGUGGAUGGAAAAUUCAAAUAUACAGUGCAGUUCAUUGUUGUCAGCUGUUGUGAUUCAGUGUACUUCCUUUUUGCAG
rnacentral:lncRNA from 1 species